rnacentral:rRNA from 1 species
AUUGGACGCUGGCGGCAGGCCUAACACAUGCAAGUCGAGCGGAUGAAGGGAGCUUGCUCCUGGAUUCAGCGGCGGACGGGUGAGUAAUGCCUAGGAAUCUGCCUGGUAGUGGGGGAUAACGUCCGGAAACGGGCGCUAAUACCGCAUACGUCCUGAGGGAGAAAGUGGGGGAUCUUCGGACCUCACGCUAUCAGAUGAGCCUAGGUCGGAUUAGCUAGUUGGUGGGGUAAAGGCCUACCAAGGCGACGAUCCGUAACUGGUCUGAGAGGAUGAUCAGUCACACUGGAACUGAGACACGGUCCAGACUCCUACGGGAGGCAGCAGUGGGGAAUAUUGGACAAUGGGCGAAAGCCUGAUCCAGCCAUGCCGCGUGUGUGAAGAAGGUCUUCGGAUUGUAAAGCACUUUAAGUUGGGAGGAAGGGCAGUAAGUUAAGACCUUGCUGUUUUGACGUUACCAACAGAAUAAGCACCGGCUAACUUCGU